rnacentral:lncRNA from 1 species
UAGAAAAGUCUUUGUCUUGUUAGGCUAGUAUUUAUUUAUUUCAAGAAAAAUCUUGUAAAUAGUAGGCAAAGUUUUAUGUAAAGAUGUAACGUGUCCUGGUGAGUCAGCAAAGAGAUAAAAAGGAAUAAUUUGGGUGGAGGAUGGGGCCCAAUGAGCACCCGCGCUCUAAUUAUUACACUCAAUCCUUUACCUAUAUAUAUAGGACUUUGUAAAUUCAAGAGGGG